rnacentral:rRNA from 1 species
AACGGCCAUACAAUGCUGAAUAUACCGGUUCUCGUUAGAUCACCGAAGUCAAGCAUCAUUGGGCGCGGUCAGUACUUGGGUGGGUGACCACCUGGGAACACCGCGUGCCGUU